GAACGCCCCCAGGCAGAUUUUGCGCAUGCUCACUCAAAGCGCUCUCUAACUCCGCUUCCGGUGAAGGGGUGCUCAGCUUGCUCGGGAGUCCGGAGCUUGAGUUUAGCGUUGCAGAAGGGCUCCAGCUUUCGACAGUUUGGGAUAGGUAUGAGUGAUUUCAGUGAAGAAUUGAUAAAGUCCACAACAGAGGAUGACCAGGGGGAAAGGUGUGAGCUCUCUGGAACAGGAAUGCAUUUUCCUUGGCUCCAAAAGCAUAUAGAAACUGUGGCGACUGGAGGGAAAAAGGAGAAGGAUUUUGCGCAGACGACAAGUGCUUGUUUAAGUUUUAUCCAGGAAGCUCUGCUGAAGCACCAGUGGCAGCAGGCUGCGGAAUACAUGCACAGCUAUUUGCAGGUCUUGGAAGAUUCGGACAGCUGCAAGAGGCAGGCCGCCCCGGAGAUUAUUUGGAAGCUCGGGAGUGAAAUUCUGUAUUAUCACCCUAAAAGCAACGUGGAGGCGUUCAAUGCCUUUGCUGACCGGAUGAAAAAUAUUGGCGUCAUGAAUUACUUAAAGAUCUCCUUACAACACGCGCUGUACCUUCUGCAUCACGGAAUGCUUGAGGAUGCGAACAGAAAUCUCAGCCAGGCAGAGACGUGGAGAUACGGUGAAAAGUCAUCUUCGCAGGAAGUCUUAAUCAACCUUAUUCAGGCCUAUAAAGGGCUUUUGCAGUAUUAUGCUUGGUCUAAAAAGAAGAUGGAAUUGUCCCAGCUCGAUAAGGAUGAUUAUGCGUACAACACAGCGUCCCAGAAUAUGCUCGACCACAGCUGGAAGACGUCUGUAAACCUUGGUGCAUUGAUUCAAAUUCCUGGAGUUUGGGACCCUUUUGUGAAGAGUUACGUAGAGAUGCUGGAAUUCUAUGGGGAUCAAGAUGGAGCCCGAGAGGUUCUCACCAAUUAUGCCUAUGAUGAGAAGUUCCCAUCGAAUCCAAAUGCUCAUAUCUACUUAUACAACUUUCUCAAGAGAGAGAAGGCCCCAAGAGAGAAACUGAUAAGCGUGCUUAAGAUUUUGUAUCAGAUUGUACCAUCUCAUAAACUGAUGUUAGAAUUCCAUAGAUUACUGAGAAAAUCAGAAAAAGAAGAACACCACAAGCUGGGGUUGGAGGUGUUAUUUGCAGUCCUAGAUUUUGCUGGAUGCACUAAAAAUAUAACUGCUUGGAAAUAUUUGGCCAAGUAUCUCCGACAGACCUUAAUGGGGAGUCAUCUUGCCUGGGUUCAAGAAGAGUGGAGCUCCAGGAAAAACUGGUGGCCAGGCUUUCACUUCAGCUACUUUUGGGCAAAAAGUGAUUGGAAGGAGGAUAAAGCGUUGGCUUGUGAGAAGGCCUUGGUGGCUGGAGUAUUGUCAGGAAAAGGUUGUAGAUAUUUUCGGUAUAUUUCAAAACAAGAUCAUCAAGUCUUCAGGAAGAAAAUUAAGCGGAUGAAGAAAUUAGUGAAAAAAUACAGUAUCAUAAAUCCAGGACUCUGAUACGGAAUUUUAGUUAUUUCCGAUCAGUAGCUACAGUGUAGCAGCUCGCUAGGUUCUAAAUGAUCCACGUCAGGUUUACCACCAUGAAGAAUAUAUUGGUGAUGGAUUCUGUUGAGGAAUUUUGGAAACAGAAAGAUUUGGGAAAGGACGACUCCUCCUUUCUCUUUGGGUUUAAAAGUCCUGGCAGUUUGGUGCUAAGAGACCUUCUGAUGGAGGGGUACCCUUUGUUUUUUUUGAGGACGAUUAACCCUGAGCUAACUGCUGCCAAUCCUCCUCUUUUUGCUGAGGAAGAUUGGCCCUGAGCUAACAUCCGUGCCCAUCUUCCUCUACUUUAUAUGUGGGACGCCUGCCACAGCAUGGCUUGCCAAGUGGUGCCGUGUCCGCACCCGGGAUCCGAACCAGUGAAUUCCGGGCCGUCUAAGGAGAACAUGUGCACUUUACCACUGCGCCACUGGGCCGGCCCUUGGAGGGGUACCUUUAACUCAGGGAUGAUUCCGCUUAGAGAGGGUAGAGCGGGCUAGCUGCUUCAGCGGGUGCUGGCCCUACUUAAAAGACUCUAGGUUGGUUUGUUUGCAUGGCACAGCAAUCUAAGACAUGCUUUAGAAGUCCUGUGUCCUCUCCUUUCUCUUGGAAACUAGGAUGCACAGUAGGCAGCUGGACAGUGGAGGAGACCUUGCCAGUGAAAUCCUGUCCCGGGGUCACACAGUAAGCCCAGUGGGAAAGCUUGGUUCAGAAGCCAAGAACAACUUUCCCGGAACAUGAGCUGAGCUUUAUAACAUGUUGUAAUAACUGGUAGAGUAAGUGCUUCUUCAAAACUGUCUUGGCUCUUACACAUUGACUGUUCAGAUAUCUAGUAUUUGAGUUCCAGUAAGGCUCGCUGACUUCAGUGCAAGUGCAAUUUUAGAUGGCAAACCACACAUUUUCCCCAUUGGCUUAUGUUCCUAUUAAUUUUAAAACCUCUGCAAGAAAAUUGGGGGACAAAUUAUGCUUUGUCAAUAAUUUAAUUCAGUAUUUUAUACUUAGUAAGAAAUGACUAUCAACAAAUAAGUACCCAACCUUAUAAUACGUAUGAAACAAGGAGGUGCCCCACAGAACCAAAAUAAACCAAGUUAAAGCUACCACCUGACUAGGGCCAGCUUCACUGUGGGAGUCCAUGACUGGGUUGGAUAGGAGUUCUGUAUAAGAGCAACACCUGAGGAAUGAAACUCGCAGAGGAUGUGGACAUCAUCACAAAGCACAGGCCAAGAUCGUCAGGGCCUCUCUUCCCUGAAACCUUUAGUCCAAAGUAAUGGGAUUUAUGAACUCUCAUGCACACGGAGGGGAGCAUGAAAGAGAGAUGUGCAGAUGUGGUUCUUGGUUCUCACAGAAAGCUUAGUUGCUUGAAAUUUUUGUAACAAGUGUUCAUAUCUAAUUGUGCAGCAAGAGCAGUGUGAGUCAACAACCGUGAAAUUUCUUUUUAGGUCCACUAAGGUUAAAGGCAGUUUCAUGAAUAAUAAUUGCUAAAGCUUAUCAAGCAUGCUGGGGCUUUACAUCUCAUCAUGUCAUCACCACAACCCUAGGAACUGUCCCUGUCUUACCAAGACAGAAAGUGGGGUCCUUGCAGAUUAGGUAACUUGCCCAAGGCCCCAGCUGACAGGGUUGACACCAGGCUCCUAACCCAGUUAGUGUGGUUCCAAAGAUCCUGCUCUGGCUGCACCUCUGUGCUGCCUCCCAGUUCAGUCAGUGAGUAUAACAUGCCAGGCUUGAGCUGGGUAGCAAGGAAAAGAAUAGAGGGGAUCCAUAGCCCAGAGGGUGUCAGCCGAAGCCGCACCUCUCCUCACUCUGCCAGGCUCGGUAGCUGCCCGUUCUGUGUCCUCACCCUGUGUGGAGUCCUUCCCAAUAUAGCCUCUUAGCAAAUUGCAACGUCGUUUCAUUAUCUUUGUCCAUCUGUCUUUCUCAAUAGUGUAUUAUACUAGGCUUACUAACGUCUAUAUCACCAACAGCGAACAGAAUUUCUGGCUCAUGAAAUAUUCAUUGAGCUGAACUGAAGAAAAUUCAUGAAAGUUAGGGACCAAGUGUGCCUAUCUCCUAGGAAGCAAUGUCUUGGCAAGUGUUUGCCAAGUGUAGGGACUCAGGAGACCGUUCGGUUUGAAUCCUGGGUUACCAUUUGGUAGUUCCGUGACUUCUUGGGCCAGUUACUAAGCGCUCUCCAUUUCUUCACCUGUAGAUUGGAGACAAUAGAUUUUAUCUCAUUGGAUUGCUAUGAAGAAUAAAAGAGCUAUAAUUAAUGCUCAAUAAAUGUUAACUAGGUAACCAUCUAUCAUGACUACUUUAGACACUAAAUAACAGGAACUAAAGUCUUGUUUCCUCCUGGAAACCUCUGAAAUAUCAAAAUUGUAUAAUAGAUGAGUUAAUGCUUCCCACUAAAAUACACCCAUCUGUCAAGCUGUGCAACCCAGCCGUCAGCUGAGUACCUGAAGGCAAUCCCCACACGCACUUGGAAUACUCCCUCUGCCAGUUCCCUCCCUGCUGCUGUACUGCCUUGAAGAUGCUGGCUGCCUCAGCUGCUCAAAAGUCUGAUCUCUGCCUCACCAGCUUUGUGGGACUGCCAUGCUCUGCUUGGACUCCAGCCCAAUGUGCUGCUUUUGGGAAAUCGUCCUUAGGUGGAGAAGUUGGACUAAUGGAACUUACUUCGUGAUUUCAUUGCUUCAGUAAGCCCAGUGUUGUGUUGCCUGUUGUCUACUGCCUGAAAACGGUUGUCUCAUGCAUUUUGUCUAGAUUAGAAGACAUGCAAAUUCAAUUAUGAUAAAAUUAAGACCUUUUGCCUGUCAAAUGAUAGCUUAAAGAAAACUAAAUGCAGUCUACUAUCAGAAAGAAGUAUUUGCAACACAUAUAAACUGACAAAAGUUAAAAUAAAUUCAACUCAAUAAGAACAAGACAAAGAAUCCAGUAGGUAAAAAUGGGCAAAGGCAAGAACAGGUAUUUCACAGAAGAGGGAAAACAUGGACGAUAAACAUGAAUUGGCAAUGCAAAUCAAGAGCGUGAUGAAAUACCAGUUUAGACUCAAUUAGCAACAGUUAAGAUGUCUGACAAUACUGAGGUUGAAGAGGAUGUAUCAACAGGGUCUGUUAUAAUGGCCGACGGGACUGUAAAAUGUUGCAAUCGUUUUAGAAAACAAUUAAGUGUGCUGCCAUUUACCAAUACCAUUCUUGGGUAUUUGCUCAAGAGAAAUGCUUGUACGUGUACACCAUGAAAAAGUAGCACUGUUCAUAAUUGCAAAAAAACUGGAAAAAACCCGCAAAUGCCCAUUGGCAUGAGAAUGGGUAAAUUAUGGUAGAGUCACAUAAAGGAAAAUGAAUAAACUAUAGAUUUAUGCACCAACAUAGAUGAAUCUCAAUAGUAUAAUAUUGAAUGAAAGAAAUGAGUCCCAAUGUACUAAUUUAUGACUAUAGUUCAAACAAUAAAGUUCAAAUUUAUGAACAAAA